CCAUGCGCUGGACCUUGACCUCACCAUCUGUCAUGGCGUCGACCUCGUGUGUCAGACACCGCCCACCAACAACGUCUCCUCCGUGCACGACGACCUCGCCGCACUGCACCACUCGGUCACCUCUGUGCACGAUCGCCAUCGCCGAUUGUUGCCCCUCACAGCGUGACAUUGGUCGUGUGAUAUCCAGGAGAUAGAGCUUGCCCCGGCACCCGUGCGGCCACGCCGACAUCUGCACUGCCCCGGCGCUUGCGCCGCCACGUCCCCUGAACCAUCCACCUCGCGACACCGCCCGCCCCUGCUACCCAUGUGACGCUGCUGCUCCGUCCUGCCCCAAGAGGGCACAUCUCCAAGCGGCCUUUGCGGGAGGGACGAUGCACCAGGCGCAUCGAGCCAGCGCAUCCCGGCAUCGCCUCCGUUCUUUGCUCCGCCUCAUCGACGCCAGUGCAGGCCUAUAUCCCACUCCUCCCCGUAGCUUCAGAGAUCUUAGAUAGAAAAAGGAUAUGGUGGCGUUGUGACGACUGCCUGCUCUUCUCUUUCCUGGCGUAAGGGACCUCAAGAUCUGGCACCGGGAGCUUUCUUCGUCCGCAUCCGUACUUUGUGUAUGGGAAAGCAAUCUUCCGGGUAGCAGCAGUUGGACUUCAUUUGUGAUUAAGGAUGAUAGCUAUCGAAGUGUGAUUGCUUUGAUUAGAGAUGGCACUGAUAUAACACGAGAGAUUAUUUCUGUAACACUUUGUCUUGGGUCUACACUUGCUAACAGAGUUGCAGACAAAACAAAGCAAUGAGCCUUUGUACUGAAUGUAAACAUACUCUGCAGAUCAACACCCAUCUUUUAA